rnacentral:rRNA from 1 species
ACGGAGGGUGCAAGCGUUAAUCGGAAUUACUGGGCGUAAAGCGCACGUAGGCGGCUUGAUAAGCGAGAUGUGAAAUACCUGGGCUUAACCUGGGAGUUGCGUUUCGAACUGUCAAGCUAGAGUAUGGUAGAGGGUGGUAGAAUUUCCGGUGUAGCGGUGAAAUGCGUAGAGAUCGGAAGGAAUACCGGUGGCGAAGGCGGCCACCUGGGCCAAUACUGACGCUGAGGUGCGAAAGCGUGGGGAGCAAACAGG